rnacentral:rRNA from 1 species
CAAAUGAAUUGACGGGGGCCCGCACAAGCGGUGGAGCAUGUGGUUUAAUUCGAUGCAACGCGAAGAACCUUACCUGGUCUUGACAUCCACAGAACUUAGCAGAGAUGCUUUGGUGCCUUCGGGAACUGUGAGACAGGUGCUGCAUGGCUGUCGUCAGCUCGUGUUGUGAAAUGUUGGGUUAAGUCCCGCAACGAGCGCAACCCUUAUCCUUUGUUGCCAGCGGUUCGGCCGGGAACUCAAAGGAGACUGCCAGUGAUAAACUGGAGGAAGGUGGGGAUGACGUCAAGUCAUCAUGGCCCUUACGACCAGGGCUACACACGUGCUACAAUGGCAUAUACAAAGAGAAGCGACCUCGCGAGAGCAAGCGGACCUCAUAAAGUAUGUCGUAGUCCGGAUUGGA